UGGCCUCUCAGAUGAAAUUUCUUCCUGA
rnacentral:sRNA from 1 species